AGCUACUAUAGUUAAUUCAAUGAAUGAGUUUCGUCUCCUCUGCUACUACCUCAGACAUUCAAGAAAUGAGGUCAAUUCCAUGUUCAAAAGAUUCUUAAUGCAUUAAUCCAUGUUUCAACCAUUUUAUCUGAGAGAGUUUGGAUUAUAUGUAUGGAGGAGAGAUUUUAUAUCUAAAAAUUGUAUUUCUUAUUUUCAUUUGGUAUUAUUAUUUUGGAAGACGAGUUAACAUGUUCUUGUGAACCUAAGUUUAUUGUUAUUUUAAUGGAAAAUCUAAGUUAGUUA